GCCAGCAGCAUACCACCCUGCAUCCCACUGCUGGUUUGCUUCUGAAGCUAAGCAAGGUUGGUCCUUGGAUGGGAGACCAGAUGCUGCUGGAA
rnacentral:rRNA from 1 species